AAUAUAAAAUAAGUGCGGAGCUGGCAUUAUUUACUACAUGCAGCUUACGAACUCACAACAUCGCACAAGUUUUUCACUAAAUCAAAUUCACUAAUUCUCAAAUACGGGAUUCAGUGUUUUAAUAUAAAUAUCAUUAAGCUCUUUCUUAACAUGGAUGAUAAUGGCACUAAAAUUAAUUCCAGUACCCAAAACUUGAAAUUGAAUAGUUCUCUUAAUUCAGAUGCAAUACGAGGCGAUUCUAAGAUUUCUCUGGCUCUCAAAGCGCUGAAAUCUUCUCUCAAAGGAACAAGCGGAGCGAGUCCAGAUGCAACUAUUGCUGCAAUGUUAUCAAGCGACAAUGAUUUAACAGAUGAUGAUAAAGGACCGAUCCCUCUUAACUUUUCUGAAACAGAUUCGGAGGACUCAUCCACGAGUAUUGAAAGUAGAACUGAUCAGGAAUCUCUGAAGGUAGAAAAUAAAUCUAGUCAACAAAAUAAUAAAGCUGACUGGGAUGAGAAACCAGUUUGUGGAGAGAAAAAAACUUUUGAGGAAAUCUUAGAAGAGAAAUUGAAAUUACUAGAGAAACAGCCCAAAGCUUUCAGUAUUGGUGAUGUGUCUUUUAACCAAAGAAUGCAAGAUAUAGCAGUUGAGGAGGAGCAUAAUGAGAGUGAGUUAAGACGGUUCGAGCAACUGGAAGAGUUUGCAAACGAGAAUGGUUCUUUUGUAAGCAAUACGGCUGAAACAAAAGUCUCUGAUUUUGGAGAUCAAGAAAGUAUAUGGGAAAACGAAGCUGACAUUGAAACUCAAGUCGCUAUACUUGAUGAUACAAUUGUUGAAGACGAGAUAGACGAUUUUAAUGAGUCUACAGUCAGCGAGAAAGAUGUUAAAUUUGAAACAUCUAAAACUGCUGCUAUUACAGAAAAUUGUCCAGCUGCACCGUCCAAUAUUGUAAAUAAUCCUGAACCUGAUAGCCAAGUAGAUCAUGCAAUGGUUCAAACUUUAGUUGAAAAAAUGAAAUCUUUAGACGCUGAAAUCUCUCGCUUUAAGUUACUCAACUCAACCCUAAAAGAUAAUUUAAAAAAUGUUGAGCAGGAGAAAGAUUCUCUGGCAAAAGCAAAAAGUCAAAUUUUUAAAGAAAAAGAAGAAGAACUAGCAAAUUUAAAGAAUAAAUGGGCUGAUGAAAAUAAAAAAUUAAUCAAUGAAAGACGUCUCCUCGAACUACAACGGAAUUCUCUAGGAUCAGCCCAGACCAAACAAUUUAGGCAAGAAAUCGAAAAUUUACGCAAACAACUUAAAGAUGUAGAAGAAAAAAGAGAUGCUGAAAAAACUAGAACUCGAAAUAAAGAAAAACGGCUUGAAAACCGUAUUUUACUCCUUGAAAAUGAAAACAAGGAACUCUCAGAAGCUUUGAAGCAGAGGGAGUCUCAACGAUUAGGAUCUUGGAAAAAUGGAACAAAUAUAGAUCGAAAUUCAAUCAAUUCUGCAAAUAAUGACAUUCCCAAUUCUAAACCAGAUAAAAUUUCAAAGCCGACUCUAGAAAGGACUCGGAUGAGAUCAAGUAGUCCAAUUUCAUCUGACGUUUUGAAGUCAAAUGGGCCUCUUCCAUCGCCUCUAAAUAGAGAUGUUAAAACUCAGCCAACACCUGGUUCCAGUCGAAAAACCUAUAUUAGCACAUCAAUGGUGUUUCCUAGUCUAGAAGGAAAAUUUGAAGAAGCAAAACAUACAGAUGGAAAGGUUAUAGUUAGAAUGCAUCUAAUCGACUUUCUUAAUGAUUUUUAUCAUUUCUUAGCUUGAACGUAUAUUUGAAAAUGGAGCGAGGGAAAUUAUUUUUCCUAAUGGAAGCAAGAAAACGAUAUCCUCUGAUGGAUUUAAAACACUUAUAUCUUUUUUUAAUGGAGAUUGGAAAUUGGACGAUAAGGAUAAAUCUGUAUAUUUUUACAAAGUUGACGAAACUCUUGUCACAACUCAUCAAAAUGGAGUAAGAGUUUUAGAGUUUAAAGACGGCCAAGUAGAGAAGCACUACCCCGACGGAACGAAGGAAGUUACCUUUGACGAUAGUACAUAUAAACUGCUUCUACCGAGUGGUAUCCAGGAAUGUAUUUAUCCAAAUGGGACAGUUGUACGCGAGGAACCAGAAACAGCUCAAAAAUUAUUACUUUUGCCGAACGGUCAGAGGGAAGUUCACUCCGCGGAAUAUAAAGUAUGCUCUUAUUAAAUACAAUAUUUUAUCCUAUUAAGCAAGUGUUCAAACAGCGUCGGGUCUAUCCGGACGGAACAAUAAAAACGGUCUACGCAGAUGGUCGGCAAGAAACUCAAUAUUCUAAUGGUCGUUUACGAGUAAAAGAUAAAGAUGGAAAUAUAGUUGUCGAUAAGUUUAUAUCAUGACUGGUGCUUUCUAACUUUCAAUUUGUUGUUUUGAUUACAAUUUCAAAUCCAAUAAAAAAUUCAUAACUCUCUGGAAAAA
rnacentral:misc_RNA from 1 species